GGCUGGAGACGGGGAGACACGCUCAAACUGGGGCUCACAGAGCCGGCCACAGACUGGGCUCCGAGGGCGGCUCUUCUCGGGGCCUGGCUAUCGGGGACCCAGUGCCCAUCACCACCUGGGGCAGGGAUGAGGGAGUCUGCGGCCACCGCACGAUCCUCCCCCACCCCCGGGGACCCCAGACCCUGCGCCGACUCCCGGAGCCUCGGCCCCUUUAAGGGCCCGCCCCCGCCCGGACGCUCCACGCCCGGACGCUCCGGCGCCCCCGGUUGCCGCCGCGGUCCUCAGCUACCAGAUGGGAAGACUAAGACCCCAAUAGGACCCAACAGUUCUCCAGCACCACAGUGAAAAAACCGAGGCACCCAGAAAUCAUGUCCUUCUUGCUGUCAGAUCGGAGCACCGAGGCCAAGCGAACGGCCUGCACGCCCAUUUCUCCGCAGAGCCAGGGAGGCCACUCACCGGCCCGUAGUCCCGGCGCAGCUGCUGCUCGCCCCGGAAGCGCACGUGGAUGCCGUAGCGCGCCACGUACAAGUUCUCCGAGCAGAAGCAGGCGCAGCGGCAGAAGCGCCGCGGGGCCCCAGCCGUCGCCAUGGUGAAGAGGACUGCGCCGCUUCGCAGGCUUCCGUAAGAGCACUUCCGGCGCGCCCCCAGGGGCCGGUGUGGAACCAGCGGCAAGGGUCCGUUCUAAGUUCCCAAGUGCAGAAGAAAACGCAGACUCCGGCCCAGAAAACGGUCUUCAGUGGACAAAGAUGCUCCCGGGCCGGGGUGGGGCGGACGGCCUAGGCUGAGAGCGCGUGGUCUUCUCGUUCCGCCUCACGGCCUCCCCAUCCACGAGGCGGGGACUAAUCGCCCCACUUUACAGAUAGGCAGACUGAGUCACACCUUCACAAGCCGGAGACAAGUUGGGACUUGUAACCCCUAAGGUCUUUUGCUUAAACACUGCCUCCUUUUUCUGCUCGGAGCUUUUGAAGAGGCAG